GGCGGAGGGGCGGAGGGGCGGUCGUCGCACAAAAGACAGAACUACGGACAGCGUUGUUCCCUACGGCGUGUUUUAAUAUAGUUCUAAGUACAAUUCGUGUCUGAUUUCGGAAAUACAAAUACAUUUCGAAUGGUUAAAAACAAAAAAUUAAAAAAAUAUUUUGAACAUCAGCCAGCUGAAAAUAUAUUCAUCUAGUAAAUUAUCUCUCAAAGCUUUUAUAUAUUUAAUUAUCCUAACUAAACAUAGUACCCUUAAAAAACAAGUUCAUAAAAAUGUAGAAACGAAACUGUGGAAUAAGAUCACGGGACACACACACACACACACACACACACACACACACACACACACACACACACACACACACCCCGCACUGCACACAGUCUCAGGGCUGGGGGUUCUGCUUCUGUACAGUGCAGCAGCUGUGGGACGAGGAAUGGCGGCAGCAGCGCCGCACUCCCAGCUGCCCCCGGGACCCCGCGGCCCUCCUUUCAGAUGCCGGUUUCACACACGAGGUGCCAUAGGAAGCCGCACCAGCAGUGCACGCCGUUACCAACAGAGACGUCUCCAAAGUCAACCCCUCCCCCCCCCACCCACCAGUAGUACAUUGCACACACACGUGGCUCGCACGCACCCAUCGACAAUUGGUCAGAGUAGUAAAUCAGUGUACAAAUUAAAUAGUUCCAAAAAUGUGCAAAAAAGUCAACGCUGAUAGAAAAAAACACCUUUGUGUCCAUACAUUACAAACUGUGCCCAGCAUUCAACUGAGUAAAAACAUUUACAGUGAGAAACUGAUAGAUUAAAUAGAGCAUUUAAUGGCUACAUAAAAAUGUACAAGAGAAAUAUACAAAUUUGUACUCGGAGCUCCAUGAAACCAAAGUCUACGCUGCGACUGAUCUACGUCUCCUCCGUGUAUUUACAGUGAGUCUCCAUGGUGUGAGCGGGAGGGCUGAGAUGACGGAGGCUUUAACGCACCGUGGGAGUGGAGGGCCGACAGCACCGUGUAAGCUGGUGUGCAGGAGAAAGCAGCAGCGGGACCUGACAGGGACAACCUAACGCCUGCUCAGCUACGGAAACAGCAGCCUCGUUUCUAAACCCACGGGAGAAAACCUCUGAGGAAAAGGAGGGGCUGUGGUUGGGCGGGCCCUGACCUCCAGUCCUCAUCCCUGGACUCAGAAGAAGGACUGAACCACGAGAUACGAUUAUCACGUAUUUUAAUC
ensembl:lncRNA